rnacentral:rRNA from 1 species
GAUGAACGCUGACGGCGUGCCUAAUACAUGCAAGUCGAGCGAACGGACGAGAAGCUUGCUUCUCUGAUGUUAGCGGCGGACGGGUGAGUAACACGUGGAUAACCUACCUAUAAGACUUGGAUAACUUCGGGAAACCGGAGCUAAUACCGGAUAAUAUUUUGAACCGCAUGGUUCAAAAGUGAAAGACGGUCUUGCUGUCACUUAUAGAUGGAUCCGCGCUGCAUUAGCUAGUUGGUAAGGUAACGGCUUACCAAGGCAACGAUGCAUAGCCGACCUGAGAGGGUGAUCGGCCACACUGGAACUGAGACACGGUCCAGACUCCUACGGGAGGCAGCAGUAGGGAAUCUUCCGCAAUGGGCGAAAGCCUGACGGAGCAACGCCGCGUGAGUGAUGAAGGUUUUCGGAUCGUAAAACUCUGUUAUUAGGGAAGAACAUAUGUGUAAGUAACUGUGCACAUCUUGACGGUACCUAAUCAGAAAGCCACGGCUAACUACGUG